rnacentral:rRNA from 1 species
UCAAGCGACUAAGUGUAUGUGGUGGAUGCCUUGGCGAUCACAGGCGAUGAAGGACGUGACAGCCUGCGAAAAGCUGUGGGGAGCUGGCAAAUAAGCUUUGAUCCACAGAUGUCCGAAUGAGGGAACUCACCUGCUUUGCAGGUAUCCCAUCCUGAAUAUAUAGGGAUGGGAGGCGAACGAAGCGAACUGAAACAUCUAAGUAGCUUCAGGAAAAGAAAUCAACCGAGAUUCCGAAAGUAGCGGCGAGCGAAAUCGGAUCAGCCCAGCACUCGAUAGCAGCCAACUUACGGGAACGGUCUGGAAAGUCCGGCCAUAGAGGGUGAUAGCCCCUUACUGGAAAAGGCAGCUGCGGUACUAAGUGUGCGAUAAGUAGAGCGGGACACGUGACAUCCUGCUCGAAGAUGGGGGGACCAUCCUCCAAGGCUAAAUACUCGUGAUCGACCGAUAGCGUACCAGUACUGUGAAGGAAAGGUUAAAAGAACCCCGGGAGGGGAGUGAAAUAGAUCCUGAAACCGCAUACAUACAAACAGUAGGAGCCUCGUUAAGGGGUGACUGCGUACCUUUUGCAUAAUGGGUCAGCGACUUACGUUUAAUGGCGAGCUUAACCGUAUAGGGGAGGCGCAGCGAAAGCGAGUUCGAACAGAGCGUUCAGUCGUUAGGCGUAGACCCGAAACCAGAUGAUCUAUCCAUGGCCAGGUUGAAGGUGUGGUAACACACACUGGAGGACCGAACCGACUAGUGUUGCAAAAUUAGCGGAUGAGCUGUGGAUAGGGGUGAAAGGCUAAACAAAUCUGGAGAUAGCUGGUUCUCCCCGAAAACUAUUGAGGUAGUGCCUCGUGUAUGACUCCAGGGGGUAGAGCACUGUUAUGGCUAGGGGGACAUGGCGUCUUACCAAACCAUGGCAAACUCCGAAUACUUGGAAGUUUGAGCACGGGAGACAGAGCACCGGGUGCUAACGUCCGGACUCAAAAGGGAAACAACCCAGACCGCCGGCUAAGGUCCCUAAUAUCGGCUAAGUGGAAAACGAAGUGGGAAGGCUAAGACAGUCAGGAAGUUGGCUUAGAAGCAGCCAUCCUUCAAAGAAAGCGUAAUAGCUCACUGAUCGAGUCUUUCUGCGCGGAAGAUGUAACGGGGCUAAGUCAAUAACCGAAGCCGCGGAUUCACACUUGUGUGUGAGUGGUAGGGGAGCGUUCUGUAAGCCUGCGAAGGUGACUCGUAAGGGUUGCUGGAGGUAUCAGAAGUGCGAAUGCUGACAUGAGUAACGUUAAAGCGGGUGAAAAGCCCGCUCGCCGUAAGCCCAAGGUUUCCUGCUCUACGUUCAUCGGAGCAGGGUGAGUCGGCCCCUAAGGUGAGGCUGAGAAGCGUAACUGAUGGGAACAAGGUUAAUAUUCCUUGACCACCGCUGAAUGCGAAGGGGGGACGGAGUAUUGAAGAUCAUCCGGGUGUUGGAUAUCCCGGUUUGCGAGCGUAGGAGGCUGACAGGCAAAUCCGUCAGCGAAUCUCCGAGGCGAAGCAUCGAGCUCUCUUUUGAGCGAAGUGAUUGGAUGUGCUUCCAGGAAAAGCCUCUAAGCUCCAGUUCAGCGGGACCGUACCGCAAACCGACACUGGUGGGCGAGCUGAAUAUGCUCAGGCGCUUGAGAGAACUCAGGAGAAGGAACUCGGCAAAUUGACACCGUAACUUCGGGAUAAGGUGUGCCUUUGUAGCGUGGAGGGAGAAACACCCCGAGCGCGAAGAGGUCUCAGAUAAUCGGUGGCUGCGACUGUUUAUUAAAAACACAGCACUCUGCAAAGACGAAAGUCGACGUAUAGGGUGUGAUGCCUGCCCGGUGCUGGAAGAUUAAUUGAUGGGGUGCAAGCUCCUGAUCGAAGUCCCAGUAAACGGCGGCCGUAACUAUAACGGUCCUAAGGUAGCGAAAUUCCUUGUC